rnacentral:rRNA from 1 species
GACGGAGGGUGCAAGCGUUGUUCGGAAUUACUGGGCGUAAAGCGCGGGCAGGUGGCCUUUUAAGUCCUUUGUGAAAUCCCGGAGCUCAACUCCGGAUGUGCAUAGGAUACUGGAAGGCUAGAGACUGGUAGAGGCGAGCGGAAUUCCUGGUGUAGCGGUGGAAUGCGUAGAUAUCGAGAGGAACACCAGAGGUGAAGACGGGUUGCUGGGCCGACACUGACGCUGACAGCGCGAAAGCCAGGGGAGCAAACGGG